UACGUAGGGUCCGAGCGUUGUCCGGAAUUAUUGGGCGUAAAGAGCUCGUAGGCGGUCUGUCGCGUCGGCUGUGAAAACUCAGGGCUCAACCCUGAGCCUGCAGUCGAUACGGGCAGACUAGAGUUCGGUAGGGGAGACUGGAAUUCCUGGUGUAGCGGUGAAAUGCGCAGAUAUCAGGAGGAACACCGAUGGCGAAGGCAGGUCUCUGGGCAUUAACUGACGCUGAGGAGCGAAAGCAUGGGGAGCGAACAGG
rnacentral:rRNA from 1 species